GAUGAACGCUAGCGACAGGCCUAACACAUGCAAGUCGAGGGGCAGCACGAAAGAAGCUUGCUUUUUUUGGUGGCGACCGGCGCACGGGUGAGUAACGCGUAUGCAACCUGCCUAUAUGAGGGGGAUAACCCGGAGAAAUCCGGACUAACACCGCAUAAUAUUGAGAAAAGGCAUCUUUUUUCAAUUAAAUAUUUAUAGCAUAUAGAUGGGCAUGCGUCUGAUUAGCUUGUUGGUAAGGUAACGGCUUACCAAGGCAACGAUCAGUAGGGGUUCUGAGAGGAAGGUCCCCCACACUGGUACUGAGACACGGACCAGACUCCUACGGGAGGCAGCAGUGAGGAAUAUUGGUCAAUGGGCGAGAGCCUGAACCAGCCAAGUCGCGUGAAGGAAUACGGCCCUAUGGGUCUUAAACUUCUUUUGUAGGGGGAUAAAAAAUGCUAUGUAUAGCAUCUUGUAGGUACCCUACGAAUAAGGAUCGGCUAACUCCGUGCCAGCAGCCGCGGUAAUACGGAGGAUUCGAGCGUUAUCCGGAUUAAUUGGGUUUAAAGGGUGCGUAGGCGGGAAGAUAAGUCAGUGGUGAAAGUUUGCGGCUCAACCGUAAAAUUGCCAUUGAAACUGUCUUUCUUGAGUGCAAAUGAGGUAGGCGGAAUGUGUUGUGUAGCGGUGAAAUGCUUAGAUAUGACACAGAACUCCGAUAGCGCAGGCAGCUUACCAGGCCACCACUGACACUGAAGCACGAAAGUGUGGGUAUCAAACAGGAUUAGAUACCCUGGUAGUCCACACAGUAAACGAUGAAUACUAACUGUUUGCGAUACACAGUAAGCGGUCGAGCGAAAGCGUUAAGUAUUCCGCCUGGGGAGUACGCCGGCAACGGUGAAACUCAAAGGAAUUGACGGGGGCCCGCACAAGCGGAGGAACAUGUGGUUUAAUUCGAUGAUACGCGAGGAACCUUACCCGGGCUCGAACGGCUUUUGAAUUUGGUGGAAACAUCAAAGUCAGCAAUGACAGGAGUCGAGGUGCUGCAUGGUUGUCGUCAGCUCGUGCCGUGAGGUGUCGGCUUAAGUGCCAUAACGAGCGCAACCCCUAUCUUUAGUUACCAUCAGGUCAAGCUGGGGACUCUAGAGAGACUGCCACCGUAAGGUGAGAGGAAGGUGGGGAUGACGUCAAAUCAGCACGGCCCUUACGUCCGGGGCUACACACGUGUUACAAUGGGUGGGACAAUAGGUUGCUACUUAGCGAUAAGAUGCUAAUCCUUCAAACCCACUCCCAGUUCGGAUCGAAGUCUGCAACCCGACUUCGUGAAGCUGGAUUCGCUAGUAAUCGCGCAUCAGCCAUGGCGCGGUGAAUACGUUCCCGGGCCUUGUACACACCGCCCGUCAAGCCAUGGAAGCCGGGGGUACCUGAAGUUCGUAACCGUUAAGGAGCGACCUAGGGUAAAACUGGUAACUGGGGCU
rnacentral:rRNA from 1 species